rnacentral:rRNA from 1 species
AGUCGACGCUUCUGUGUGUUCACUGAUUUGAAUAGCUUGCUCAGAUAUGACGAUCGACAUUGCAAAUAGUGGCUGAACGGGUCAGUAACACGUGGGAAACCUACCUCUUAACACGGUACAACAUUCUGUAAACAGAUCCUAAUACCGUAUAAUAUUAUCUACCGCAUGGUUGCUACUUAAAAUAAGGUUCUGCUAUCCCUAGCAUAUGGUCCCUCGUUGCAUUAGUUAUUUGGUGAGGUAAUGGCUCAACCCGACCAUAAUGCAUAACCGACUUCAUAGACUGAUCGACCCCACUGGGACUCAUACACGGCCCAUACUCCUACAGGAUGCAGCAAUAGGCAAUCUUCCGCCCUGGGCGAAAGCCUGAUGUAACAACGCCUCGCGUAUGAUGAAGGGUUUCUGCUCGUAAAAAACUGUUGUAAGAGAAGAAGGACAUUGAUAGUAACUGUUCAAUGUGUGACGGUAUCUUACCAAAAUGGAACGGCUAACUACGUGCCAUCAGCCGCGGUAAUACUUAUGUUCCAAUCGUUAUCCGGAUUUAUUGGGCGUAUAGCUAGCUCAGACGGUUAUUUAAGUCUGACGUGAAAGCACUCAGCUCAACUGAUGAAUUGCUUUGGAGACUGGAUGACUUGAGUGCAGUAGAGGAUAGUGGAACUCCGUGUGUAUCGGUGAAAUGCCUACAUUUAUGGAAGAACACCUCUGGCGAAUGCGUCUUUCUGGACUGUAACUGACGUUGAAGCUCACAAGUGUGGGUACCCUGCUGGACUACAUACCCUGGUAGUCCACCCCGUAGACGAUGAGUGCUAGGUGUUUGAGGCUUUCCGCCCCUCAGUGCCGCAUCUAACGCAGUAAGCACUCCCCCCGGGGAAUACUACAGCAAGGUUGAAACUCACAGGAAUUGACGGGGACCCGCACAAUCGGUGGAACAUGUGGUUUAAAUCGAACCACGGCGAGAAAUCUUAUCAGGUCUUGACAUCCUUUGACAACUCUUAAGAGAACGUUCCCUUCGGGGACAAGUUGACGGUAGGUGCAUGUUUUUCAUCAAUUCGUACCUGCAAAGAUGGGGUAAAUUCCUCAACAAGCUCACCCCUUAU